GUGGGGAAUUUUGGACAAUGGGCGCAAGCCUGAUCCAGCAAUGCCGCGUGCAGGAAGAAGGCCUUCGGGUUGUAAACUGCUUUUGUCAGGGAAGAAAUCUUCUGGGCUAAUACCCCGGGAGGAUGACGGUACCUGAAGAAUAAGCACCGGCUAACUACGUGCCAGCAGCCGCGGUAAUACGUAGGGUGCGAGCGUUAAUCGGAAUUACUGGGCGUAAAGCGUGCGCAGGCGGCUUUGCAAGACAGAUGUGAAAUCCCCGGGAUCAAGCUGGGAACUGCAUUUGUGACUGCAAGGCUAGAGUACGGCAGAGGGGGAUGGAAUUCCGCGUGUAGCAGUGAAAUGCGUAGAUAUGCGGAGGAACACCAAUGGCGAAGGCAAUCCCCUGGGCCUGUACUGACGCUCAUGCACGAAAGCGUGGGGAGCAAACAGGAUUAGAUACCCGGGUAGUCC
rnacentral:rRNA from 1 species